GAAUCUGCCGAUAGUGGGGGAUCUGCGGGGAAACCCAGGCUAAUACCGCAUACGUCCUACGGGAGAAAGGGGGCUCCGGCUCCCGCUAUGGGAUGAGCCUAUGUCGGAUUAGCUAGUUGGUGAGGUAACGGCUCACCAAGGCCACGAUCCGUAGCUGGUCUGAGAGGAUGAUCAGCCACAUCGGGGACUGAGACACGGCCCCGAACUCCUACGGGAGGCAGCAGUGGGGGAAUAUUUGGACAAUGGGGGCAACCCUGAUCCAGCCAUGCCGCGUGUGUGAAGAAGGCCCUCGGGUUGUAAAGCACUUUCCCCAGGAAUAACGCCCUAGCGGUUAAUACCCCGCUAGGAAAGACAUCACUCGGCAGAAGAAGCACCGGCUAACUCCGUGCCCAGCAGCCGCGGUAAUACCGAGGGUGCAGGCGUUACUCGCAAAUUACUGGGCGUAAAGCGCGCGUUAGGUGGCUUGAUAAGCCGGGUUGUGAAAGCCCCCGGGCUC
rnacentral:rRNA from 1 species